rnacentral:rRNA from 1 species
CGGUAAAAGCUCAAAUUUGAAAUCUGGUACUUUCAGUGCCCGAGUUGUAAUUUGUAGAAUUUGUCUUUGAUUAGGUCCUUGUCUAUGUUCCUCGGAACAGGACGUCAUAGAGGGUGAGAAUCCCGUUCGGCGAGGAUACCUUUUCUCUGUAAGACUUUUUCGAAGAGUCGAGUUGUUUGGGAAUGCAGCUCAAAGUGGGUGGUAAAUUCCAUCUAAAGCUAAAUAUUGGCGAGAGACCGAUAGCGAACAAGUACAGUGAUGGAAAGAUGAAAAGAACUUUGAAAAGAGAGUGAAAAAGUACGUGAAAUUGUUGAAAGGGAAGGGCAUUUGAUCAGACAUGGUGUUUUUUGCAUGCACUCGCCUCUCGUGGGCUUGGGCCUCUCAAAAAUUUCACUGGGCCAACAUCAAUUCUGGCAGCAGGAUAAAUCAUUAAGAAUGUAGCUACUUCGGUAGUGUUAUAGCUUUUUGGAAUACUGUUAGCCGGGAUUGAGGACUGC